rfam:Nadsonia fulvescens var. elongata DSM 6958 unplaced genomic scaffold NADFTscaffold_3, whole genome shotgun sequence.
ACCUGCGUAGCUCAGUUGGUAGAGCGUUCGACUUUUAAAAAAGGUACUGUUGAGGUCAUCGAAAUGUCCAGGGUUCGAGCCCCUGCGUGGGUG